AUUUACUUGUAAUUUAGUUUUGCCAUAUUUCAAGUGUAAUACAAUAUCUGCACUAGAAACUAGAUAAAACUACUUGGUAAUAUUUCAUAUUUUUGCAGUGCUGCCUCAGGUCCAAACAGCACAACUCAGUAGUAAAGUGGUACUUAGCUGACCCAUCUGUCAGCGUUACGAUAUGAACUCCAGAUGCACAAAAACCAUCGAUUUCUUCUUUUUUUUAUCGCUUCUUUGCAACUGAUGAGUUAUUGAUUUCUCAGUGACAGUUGUAUUGGUACAAAUAGGGUGCUGGGGUUUUGUUUGUUUUUUGCAGCUGAUGAAUCAGUGACAGCCAGAAUGGUCAUAAAGCAUCAAGAUGUGAAAACAGUUUGAGUACCAAACUGCAUUAUGAUGUAUUCAGUCAUCUGAAAAAGUAUUUAAACCUCUUGAGCUUUUCUGCUGUUUGACGCAGGACAACCACAAACUUCAGUGUUUUAUUGGGAUUUAAUAUUUUAGACUAAUAAAGUAGAACAUCAUUGUGAAGUGGAAGGAAAAUUAUUUAAGUUUUAAUAAAAUCCAACUUGUCACAAUCAUUUGUAUUCAGCCACCUUUACAAAAAUGCCAGAAAGAGUUGCUUAAAGAAAGCCUUAAAGCAGCAGUAGUAACUUUUAUAAAAAGAAUAUCUUUUUUACAUAUUUGUUAAUACUGCCACCAUGUCAUGACAGUUUAAUAAAAUACAGAUAAUCUGUGAAAAGAUCUCCUCCUUGAGCUUCUUUUGCCUUUUAAAGAAAUGCACCGCUCCUGACCAAAGACAACCAAUCAGAGCCAGGAGGAGGGUCAUAUUGCUGUCAAUCAACCUCAUGUACUCACUGCUAAAUGUGCUAAUGGCAGAGAAACAGCUUACCGUUUACCCGCCAUCAUCGGUGGCCAUGCUAACUAGCCUAGCAUUCACGACAAGUUAUGUUGCGCUGCACUUAGUAGCUAAUACCAUAACAGUGCCUGAAAAGAAUGCUAAGGGUAGUUAGCAUAGCCACUGGUGACAGCGGAUAAAUGGUUUCUUGUAAUGGUAAGUUGUUUCUCCAUCAUUAGCACGUUUAGUAACAAGUACAUGAGAUUGAUUGACAGCAAUAAGUUCAUCUUCUGGGCACUGAUGGAUUGUUUUUGGUCAGGAGUCGUGCCGUUCUUCAAAAGGCGAUAGCUCAGGGAGGAGCUGAUUAGGGCUGUUGUAAAAGUAUAAUUUAGUAAUCGAGGUACUCGAAUCAGCUGGAAGAAACUGAUUGAUCCUUUUACAGAUUAUCUGUCUCGUAUUAAACUGUCACAACAUGGUGACAGCUUUAACAGAUAUGUAAAAAAUAAUUAUUUUUGUAAGUUUCAUACUGCUGCUUUAACUACUUCCUGCCAAAAUCUACAGACAAGAGUGGCAGUACACUGAUGGAGCCCAUCACCAUCUAAAGGGUGACUGGUGGUGGUGGCAGCAUCAUGCUGUCAACCUUUUAUUUCUGGAAAAAAAAAUUGUACCUACAGAAAACUUACACCUGGAUUAAGGUCCUAAAAUUCCCUAAUUAAAGUUCAGACUUGAAUUAAAUUGAGAAUCAUUGUGAAAACUUGAAAACUGAUGUUCCUCACAUUUAAUUCUGAUUUCAUUUAUUUUCCUUACACUUCAUUUUCUACAUUAUAAAAUUCAAACA